rnacentral:rRNA from 1 species
CCUACGGGAGGCAGCAGUGGGGAAUAUUGGACAAUGGGGGCAACCCUGAUCCAGCCAUGCCGCGUGUGUGAAGAAGGCCCUCGGGUUGUAAAGCACUUUCAGUGAGGAAGAACGCCUGGUGGUUAAUACCCAUCAGGAAAGACAUCACUCACAGAAGAAGCACCGGCUAACUCCGUGCCAGCAGCCGCGGUAAUACGGAGGGUGCGAGCGUUAAUCGGAAUUACUGGGGCGUAAAGCGCGCGUAGGUGGCUUGAUAAGCCGGUUGUGAAAGCCCCGGGCUCAACCUGGGAACGGCAUCCGGAACUGUCAAGCUAGAGUGCAGGAGAGGAAGGUAGAAUUCCCGGUGUAGCGGUGAAAUGCGUAGAGAUCGGGAGGAAUACCAGUGGCGAAGGCGGCCUUCUGGACUGACACUGACACUGAGGUGCGAAAGCGUGGGUAGCAAACAGGAUUAGAUACCCUUGUAGUC